UCCCUGGUGGUCCAGUGGGUAGGAUAUUGUGCUCCCAAUGCAGGGGACCUGGGUUCGAUCCCUGGUCAGAGAA
rnacentral:tRNA from 1 species